UAGGGAAUCUUCCGCAAUGGACGAAAGCCUGACCCAGCAACGCCGCGUGGGUGAAGACGGCCUUCGGGUUGUAAAGCCCUUUUCUGAGGGAAGAUGAUGACGGUACCUCAGGAAUAAGCACCGGCUAACUACGUGCCAGCAGCCGCGGUAAUACGUAGGGUGCAAGCGUUGCCCGGAUUUAUUGGGCGUAAAGGGCGCGUAGGCGGCUUCACACGUCACGCGUGAAAUCUCCCGGCUCAACUGGGAGGGGUCGCGUGAUACGGUGAGGCUAGAGCAAGGUAGGGGGCAGUGGAAUUCCCGGUGUAGUGGUGGAAUGCGUAGAUAUCGGGAGGAACACCAGUGGCGAAGGCGACUGCCUGGACCUUUGCUGACGCUAAUGCGCGAAAGCGUGGGGAGCGAU
rnacentral:rRNA from 1 species